AUGCUACUAACUCUCGCGUCAAAGAUUAAUAAGACAAAAAGGUCAAAUUACUCUUUAGACUAACUACGCUACCCUCAUGGAAACUUUAAGUAUUUUACUGUGUUGGAUCAGCUUACAUUUACACUAAAUUUGAUAAAGGAAAAUAAUCUGAAGACAACUUUUCAACUGUUUGUAAGGAAACAGGAUGUCAAACUGCAAUAACUAAGACCUAAAAUAAAAAUUGAAUCUUAUUUUUCUUCAAUGCAAUUUGUGGUUGCAGAUUGUGGAAAUUGUAGCAGGAUAACGGGGGUGACGGAGCGCUGGAGCAAACCCUGAUCAAACACCAGUUAAGUGUGCACUAUUUACGGCUGUAAAUGAAUUCACGUCUCGUGCUCUAAUGGGCACGACAUGGAUGCCGUGUGUGGGGUUAUUGGCAAAUAAAUAGUGCCCGUGUUGAAUGUAAUAAUAGAAAAACGGAGUAAACUGUAAACUUUGGUAUUUCUGGGCACCACUGGAGCUCACAACGACGAUAAAGGUUCUGUUUCCUAAGAAAUGCCCAUCAAAGGUGCUUUGCUGUAGUAUUGAUAUUUACCGUAGCUCCUGAUUCCUCACAGUCGUCUAUUCUCUUAUCUCCUCCUCUUAUCUGUCUCCGCACCUGCACUUCUCUUCUUUCCCUGCACCUCCAGCACCAUUCCUGUGUCUCUGGGAUGGGUGAAACCCAUAUGGGAGAGCUGCCGGCUGGGAUUGCUGCUCCAGCCCAACCACGGUGCCCUCACCCUCCCGCCAUCUGUUAGUGUCCCUCCAGUCUGCCGCGGCUUUGCCAACAGGACAAUUCAUAUGGUCAGCAGUAUCCUGCAAACAUGGUCACCCACCCCGGCUACCUCUGAAGGACACCGGGACAGUCUUGGUGACCUCUGCUUCUCCACCGCGCUGAACGCCACACGGCUCCUUCAGAGAGGAUUCUAGGACACUAACCAAAAGUUCGAUGCUGCAGACACGCUGGAAAGAGGACGCUGGCGCUUAAAUCCUGAAGCAUCACGUCUCAGUUAGACCACGUGUGCAACACAAACACGCUCCUCACUCCUCUCCCGGUCAAGUUCGUGGCCAUGGCAACGGUGUUUUGAAGAGCCUCCAGGGGGACUCGCUUAAGCGCCAGCUCUUCCCUUCUCCUGUAAAGGAUACAUUGUUGAGACCUGCAGAAGCCACUGACCUGGAAGUGAAGCUCAGGUCACCCACUAAAACCGGGAACAGCGUCCAAGAAACCCGACACUGUUUUCCAAAACAUGUUCAAUAAGAACAGAGUGUCCAAACAAAAAGCUCCUCUCUCAAGUUUUAACCGUGUUGUCCCGAUGGAGCCCGGAGUAGAGCGGUUAAUAAACUUCACUUCAAGGAAUCAAAUAAUACCAGAAGCAGAAUCAGUGAUUGUAAUAUCAGCACUUAUUACUGUCAUUCAUUAUUUAUGAUCACGGCUGUUUCCAGCUAUUUUACAUUAUGUCUAUGCAAGAGUCUGUUUGAGAGUCCCUAUUUUGCAAAAACUACAGCAGGAUUAAGACAAGUCAAACCUUUGAGAUACAUCUAUGUCCACUAUUAGAUGGUGAGGAGUGGUAACAUUUGUUGGAAAACAAAAGAAUGUGGAUCAAAGCAGUUUUGAGCAGCCAAAUCAGUGCUUGUG